CAGUGAUUGUGGAGCAGCAGCAUUAUUGCUGUGGGGAGUGCUGACGAUCUUGGUUGCACUCAUUUCCCCAUGGGAGGACUUGCCUGCGUCUGAGUGCAGCCUUAAUUACAAGGCUGGCAUUACUUCCUGCUAGUGAUAAAGAAAAAAUUUCUUGUGGCCGAGAAACUCUCCGUUGGUAAACCUUCUGUCACAACUGUCAAACACAAGGAGAGAAAAUGAGUUAUUUACUGAAUCACAGAACAGGUUAUGCCUCUCCUGGUCAGCACAGGGAUGCUUGGAGCACCUGGAGCAAACUCCAGGACCCUUCUUUUCCCUGUUCUGGUGAAGUUUUCCUGUGUCC